rnacentral:rRNA from 1 species
UACGUAGGGGGCAAGCGUUGUCCGGAACCAUUGGGCGUAAAGAGCGUGUAGGCGGCCAGAAAAGUCCGCUGUGAAAACUCGAGGCUCAACUUCGAGCUGUCGGUGGAAACUUUCUGGCUAGAGUCCGGAAGAGGAGAAUGGAAUUCCUGGUGUAGCGGUGAAAUGCGCAGAUAUCAGGAAGAACACCCGUGGCGAAGGCGGUUCUCUGGGACGGUACUGACGCUGAGACGCGAAAGCGUGGGGAGCGAACAGG